GCUGGGAGCAGCCUCUGGUGAUGACCCUUCUCUCUCUGAUGGCUGUGGUGGUGAUGAGCAUCAAACCAAAGCCUCUAAGAAGUUGGCUGAAGAGGCUGUUCCUCA
ensembl:snoRNA